UACGUAGGGGGCAAGCGUUGUCCGGAAUCAUUGGGCGUAAAGCGCGUGUAGGCGGCCCGGUAAGUCCGCUGUGAAAGUCGGGGGCUCAACCCUCGAAUGCCGGUGGAUACUGUCGGGCUAGAGUGCGGGAGAGGCGAGUGGAAUUCCUGGUGUAGCGGUGAAAUGCGCAGAUAUCAGGAGGAACACUAAUUGCGAAGGCAGCUCGCUGGAACGUAACUGACGCUGAGACGCGAAAGCGUGGGGAGCAAACAGG
rnacentral:rRNA from 1 species